AUCUACACGGUUUCAAAGUUUAGCACCUGCACACACAAUUCUGCAUGUCAGGACAUAUUUGUCCUUUUGAUUUACUUUUUCCUAUUAUUAAUAUAUUUUUAAUUCUUUUAAAUUUCGUUUAUUAUUAGUUAUUCGGUGUUUUACGCUUGACGCUUCUUGCCAUAACCUAAACGCAGGCAUCCAAUUUUUUCUCUACCUUCUCCAUCUACAGCCGACGCUCCUCCUUUGGCAUCUCUCCGGCCGUCGCCACCCUCGCACACCUCCGGCGCCACCGUCCUUCAGCAACAAAACAGGUGAUCCUUAUUAAAAAUGUAGCAACAUGAGGCUUCACUGGUUUCGCAUAGUCCUUGAAUUAAAAAAUAACGAUAUUAAAUGCAAAAGAAGCAAAUGAAGGGACGUCCAACAGAAAGAAUGAACUGUCAAAAAGAGGCGGGGCAAUCAAAUUCAUAAAGAGACAAACUAACCAAGACAAGUUGGCCAGUUUCAUUUUACUUGACUCAAACCCACAAAUCAUUGUUUAAUACAUUAAUACAUGCAAUAUCAUUUAUUGUUGUAAUAAAACCCUAAUAUUGCAAUGAAGUUAGGAUUUACUCUCUCCAAAUUUGAAGAUUUCCAAUCACCAGCAUGGCGAUAUGGUUUCUCUUUUUGAUCUAUAUAUAUGAAUAUUUGCACAAAAUUGAUGAUCGUAUAUAAAGCUAUAGUAUUCUAUGUAACAAUAACUUGACCAUU